UAAAAAGUGGUGUAGUGGAAGCACGAGGGGUUUUGAUCUCCUGAGGGCGGGUUCAAGUCCUGUCUUUUUA
rnacentral:tRNA from 1 species